CAGUAGCCGCGGUAAUACGUAGGUGGCAAGCGUUGUUCGGAUUCAUUGGGCGUAAAGGGUGCGUAGGCGGUUCCGUAAGUCGGAUGUGAAAUCCUGGGGCUCAACCCCAGAACUGCAUUCGAUACUGCGGGGCUAGAGGACUGGAGAGGAGAGUGGAAUUCACGGUGUAGCGGUGAAAUGCGUAGAGAUGUGGAGGAACACCAGUGGCGAAGGCGACUCUCUGGUCUGUAACUGACGCUGAGGAGCGAAAGCGUGGGGAGCGAACAGGAUUAGAUACCCGCGUAGUCCCUGUCUCUUAUAC
rnacentral:rRNA from 1 species